AUUGAACGCUGGCGGCAGGCCUAACACAUGCCAGUCGAGCGGAUGAAGGGAGCUUGCUCCUGGAUUCAGCGGCGGACGGGUGAGUAAUGCCUAGGAAUCUGCCUGGUAGUGGGGGAUAACGUCCGGAAACGGGCGCUAAUACCGCAUACGUCCUGAGGGAGAAAGUGGGGGAUCUUCGGACCUCACGCUAUCAGAUGAGCCUAGGUCGGAUUAGCUAGUUGGUGGGGUAAAGGCCUACCAAGGCGACGAUCCGUAACUGGUCUGAGAGGAUGAUCAGUCACACUGGAACUGAGACACGGUCCAGACUCCUACGGGAGGCAGCAGUGGGGAAUAUUGGACAAUGGGCGAAAGCCUGAUCCAGCCAUGCCGCGUGUGUGAAGAAGGUCUUCGGAUUGUAAAGCACUUUAAGUUGGGAGGAAGGGCAGUAAGUUAAUACCUUGCUGUUUUGACGUUACUAACAGAAUAAGCACCGGCUAACUUCGUG
rnacentral:rRNA from 1 species